rnacentral:rRNA from 1 species
UACAGACUCAUUUUAAACCUUGACCAGAGAUUGGACCAAAGAACAUACAACGAGCCAAUUAAUUCGGAGGUAGCUGCAGUGUGGAUUGAAGGAAAUGAAAGAAGAGAUACUUAUGACAGAAACGUAAUAUUACAUGGGAACAACAACGAAAAAGAGCACAUUCGAUCAUACUACGGGUGCUAUGAUCCGUUGUCGUAUCCUCUAUUCUUUCCAAGAGCUGAACUCGGUUGGCAUAGGAAAAUCCCAAAGAAGGAAACACCAGAUGCAGAUAUUGCUACCAAUAAUAUCAGUAAUAACGACGACCCAGGGAUGUAUCUAGAACUA